AGUGAACGCUGGCGGUAGGCCUAACACAUGCAAGUCGAACGGCAGCACAGUAAGAGCUUGCUCUUACGGGUGGCGAGUGGCGGACGGGUGAGGAAUACAUCGGAAUCUACUUUUUCGUGGGGGAUAACGUAGGGAAACUUACGCUAAUACCGCAUACGACCUACGGGUGAAAGCAGGGGAUCUUCGGACCUUGCGCGAUUGAAUGAGCCGAUGUCGGAUUAGCUAGUUGGCGGGGUAAAGGCCCACCAAGGCGACGAUCCGUAGCUGGUCUGAGAGGAUGAUCGGCCGCACUGGAACUGAGACACGGUCCAGACUCCUACGGGAGGCAGCAGUGGGGAAUAUUGGACAAUGGGCGCAAGCCUGAUCCAGCCAUACCGAGUGGGUGAAGAAGGCCUUCGGGUUGUAAAGCCCUUUUGUUGGGAAAGAAAAGCAGCAGGUUAAUACCCCGCUGUUCUGACGGUACCCAAAGAAUAAGCACCGGCUAACUUCGUG
rnacentral:rRNA from 1 species